UACGUAGGGGGCAAGCGUUGUCCGGAUUUAUUGGGCGUAAAGAGCGUGUAGGCGGCUUUACAGGUCCGUUGUGAAAACUCGAGGCUCAACCUCGAGACGCCGGUGGAAACCGUAAAGCUAGAGUCCGGAAGAGGAGAGUGGAAUUCCUGGUGUAGCGGUGAAAUGCGUAGAUAUCGGGAGGAACACCUGUGGCGAAAGCGGCGCACUGGACCACAUCUGACGCUGAGGCGCGAAAGCUAGGGGAGCAAACAGG
rnacentral:rRNA from 1 species